UCUUUCAAAGAUUUUCCAGUGAAACGGCGUUUUAUUAAUGAACGACCAAAAUCGCUGAAGAAUCCGUUUGUUCGUCUUCCGCUCUUGUUCGUGAUCAUAUUCCAAGACAAGCCCUAAUCAUCUCUCUCUUCCAUCUUUUUCACUGAAAUCAGCCGCCAUGGCUCGAAGCUUCAUCUCGUGGCUGCACGACCUAGGUGAUUCGGGUCCUGCAAACGAACCCAUCAAGACAUUAUUCAAAUCCCCCGACUUCAGGAACUCUGACUGGCUGUCCCCUUCAUCUCCAACCAUAUCUCCUGCAACUGUACGAUUUUGGCUUUUGCUUCUAGUUUUCUGAUGAUGGACAUAUCGAAGGGUUUUCUUUUCGUCCUGUGGGGUUGGGUCUCUGGGUUUUGCAUAGUUCUGUUCUCUGAUUAAGCUGAUAAGUUAAAGCUCAUAUCUUGAUUAAUCUGGUGAAGAUUGCUGUGUUUCUGAUAGUUGCUUUUGUUGGGGAUUGCAAUGAGAUUCCUUUUGGUGAGUCUGGUAAUUUGAUAUGAACGUUUGGUGUAAUAACACCUCGUGUCCUGAGUGUUUUCUCCUUAAUCCUUCAAAUCUCAGUUUAUGAUUGGAUUGCUUCCAAUGGGUAUCGAUCUUUGUCGAAGAUGAUUGCUCAAAGUGCAAAUUGUUUUCGGAGUCUGCAUCGUUGUCAAUGCCAUUUGGUAUUUGGGUUUCAUUCUUGUGCAGAUGAUAUGGGUUAUGCCUUCAUGGUUUGACAUCCCUGAGUUCCCCUUGCAGUGAUCUCACAGCAGCAAAGUUUGAAUCUUUAUGAUAGGCUUCAACUAUACUUGCUAAUUAAUCCUACAUGGGUCUCUCCCUAUAGAACGAGAGCUUCAGCUGUUCGCCUUGUGAGGUGAUAUCGUCAAUAUGUUCUGAAUCCACAGGGGGAUUUCCGGAGGAACAAAUCCAGAAAAUGUCUAUACUUGUGGAUUUAACCAAGGAGGUGUUUUCUCCACUUUAUUGGUAUUUCUCUGUUUCCCAUGAGUACCAUACUCUUUGAAUUGAUAGAGAAGCCCUUCUUUUUUUACUUGUGAAUCUAUAUGAUAGUGUUACAUUCCAGUUCCUGGUCAAAUUUCUUUUCUUUGCCCAAAAACUCUUGGAGGAGGGUGCCGUUUUAUUCUUUACUCAUCAAACAAUUUUCUGAAGAUGCUAAGAAGGUUCAUCUGUUUCUUGUUAAAAAGAACAAUCUUUAGGCAUUGAUUUCGGUUUCUUAUUCUUUCCAGAUUUGUUUUCUCCUCUGCAGACACAUGUCUUGUGGUCACACGGAAUGGAAUAGGUAUAGGUGACAGGACUCCGCUCUUUGAAGCUGGUCACUCUGCUCUUCCUUUCCUUCAAGAAGCAGGCCUAACUUGUGAGUUCAAGGUAUGAAUCCACAACACUAUACACACACGUUCCCUUUCUUUUGAUUCAUAACAUCUCUGCUUCUGCUUUAGGCCGCGAGACCCUUGUACAAUCGAAGACUUGUACAGUUGCCUUGCCUUGCCUUGUAGAGCCAUGGUGCUCGGUUCAUGUUUUGCGCAAAACCCGGAUUACUGAUUCCCUUCCUGGCCCUUUAAAUGGGUUUUACACUCAAUGGUUUGCAUUGUUUGCACAAAACAAUCCGAAACGUUUUCAGGCAAGCUACACCCAAGUGGCAUCCACCAUGAUUCUUGAUUAGAAUCUUGCUCCUGCUAUGGAUAUGAGUAUGAGUGCAGACUUGGUAAAUGUUUCCACUAUGAUUAUAGCAAUGUGCAUGUGAAGAGAUUUGUCUAUUUGCAGGCAUAGGCUGGUCUCCAUCAGCAACGAGGGGCUUCUCAAGCAUUUGGAGUCAUGGAUCAUGGAAAAAGUGUGUCCGAAGGAUAUGAUGAUAAGAACACCGAAGUGUGUCUGCUUCCAUCAAUGUCCAUUUGCUUUAACUUUAUUCAUCUUACUGUAUUAUUUAUAAAAAUGCGGUUAGAGAAUUAUUAGUUUGAACUUGUACAUACAAAAUGUUUAGAUAGAUAUAAAUCAUAUUUGUUUAGAAUAUAAAUCAUAUUAUGAAACAAA